rnacentral:rRNA from 1 species
AUUGAACGCUGGCGGCAGGCCUAACACAUGCAAGUCGAACGAGGGGCGGAAGGGUGAGUAAUGUAUGGGAAACUGCCUGAGGGAGGGGGAUAACUACUGGGAACGGUAGCUAAUACCGCAUACCAUCAGAUGGGCCCAGAUGGGAUUAGCGAGUUGGUGGGGUAACGACUCACCAAGGCGACGAUCCCUAGCUGGUCUUAGAGGAUGACCAGCCACACUGGAACUGAGGCACGUUCCAGACUCCUACGGGAGGCAGCAGUGGGGAAUAUUGCACAAUGGGCGCAACCCUGAUGCAGCCAUGCCGCGUGUAUGAAGAAGGCCUUCGGGUUGUAAAGUACUUUCAGCGGGGAGGCGUUACCCGCAGAAGAAGCACCGGCUAACUCCGUGCCAGCAGCCGCGGUAAUAC